rnacentral:rRNA from 1 species
GAUGAACGCUAGCUACAGGCUUAACACAUGCAAGUCGAGGGGAAACGACAUCGAAAGCUUGCUUUUGAUGGGCGUCGACCGGCGCACGGGUGAGUAACGCGUAUCCAACCUGCCCACCACUUGGGGAUAACCUUGCGAAAGUAAGACUAAUACCCAAUGAUAUCUCUAGAAGACAUCUGAAAGAGAUUAAAGAUUUAUCGGUGAUGGAUGGGGAUGCGUCUGAUUAGCUUGUUGGCGGGGUAACGGCCCACCAAGGCGACGAUCAGUAGGGGUUCUGAGAGGAAGGUCCCCCACAUUGGAACUGAGACACGGUCCAAACUCCUACGGGAGGCAGCAGUGAGGAAUAUUGGGCAAUGGGCGAGAGCCUGAACCAGCCAAGUAGCGUGCAGGAAGACGGCCCUAUGGGUUGUAAACUGCUUUUAUAAGGGAAUAAAGUGAGUCUCGUGAGACUUUUUGCAUGUACCUUAUGAAUAAGGACCGGCUAAUUCCGUGCCAGCCGCCGCCGUAACAC